rnacentral:rRNA from 1 species
GUGGGGAAUUUUGGACAAUGGGGGCAACCCUGAUCCAGCCAUGCCGCGUGCGGGAAGAAGGCCUUCGGGUUGUAAACCGCUUUUGUCAGGGAAGAAAUCCUUUGGGUUAAUACCUCGGAGGGAUGACGGUACCUGAAGAAUAAGCACCGGCUAACUACGUGCCAGCAGCCGCGGUAAUACGUAGGGUGCGAGCGUUAACCGGAAUUACUGGGCGUAAAGCGUGCGCAGGCGGUUUUGUAAGAUCGAUGUGAAAUCCCCGGGCUCAACCUGGGAACGGCAUUGGUGACUGCAAGGCUGGAGUGCGGCAGAGGGGGAUGGAAUUCCGCGUGUAGCAGUGAAAUGCGUAGAUAUGCGGAGGAACACCGAUGGCGAAGGCAAUCCCCUGGGCCUGCACUGACGCUCAUGCACGAAAGCGUGGGGAGCAAACAGGAUUAGAUACCCUUGUAGUCC